UACGAAGGGGGGCUAGCGUUGCUCGGAAUCACUGGGCGUAAAGGGUGCGUAGGCGGGUCUUUAAGUCAGGGGUGAAAUCCUGGAGCUCAACUCCAGAACUGCCUUUGAUACUGGCGAUCUUGAGUCCGGGAGAGGUGAGUGGAACUGCGAGUGUAGAGGUGAAAUUCGUAGAUAUUCGGAAGAACACCGGUGGCGAAGGCGGCGACCUGGGUCGAUACUGACGCUGAGGUGCGAAAGCGUGGGGAGCAAACAGG
rnacentral:rRNA from 1 species